rnacentral:pre_miRNA from 10 species
ACACACAUACAUGUAUAUACAUAUGUGUGUAUACGUAUACACACAUACAUGUAUAUACAUAUGUGUGUAUG